rnacentral:rRNA from 1 species
GACGAACGCUGGCGGCGUGCCUAAUACAUGCAAGUUGAGCGAUGAAGAUUGGUGCUUGCACCAAUUUGAAGAGCAGCGAACGGGUGAGUAACGCGUGGGGAAUCUGCCUUUGAGCGGGGGACAACAUUUGGAAACGAAUGCUAAUACCGCAUAACAACUUUAAACAUAAGAUUUAAGUUUGAAAGAUGCAAUUGCAUCACUCAAAGAUGAUCCCGCGUUGUAUUAGCUAGUUGGUGAGGUAAAGGCUCACCAAGGCGAUGAUACAUAGCCGACCUGAGAGGGUGAUCGGCCACAUUGGGACUGAGACACGGCCCAAACUCCUACGGGAGGCAGCAGUAGGGAAUCUUCGGCAAUGGACGAAAGUCUGACCGAGCAACGCCGCGUGAGUGAAGAAGGUUUUCGGAUCGUAAAACUCUGUUGGUAGAGAAGAACGUUGGUGAGAGUGGAAAGCUCAUCAAGUGACGGUAACUACCCAGAAAGGGACGGCUAACUACGUG